GAUGAACGCUGACAGAAUGCUUAACACAUGCAAGUCUUUGGCGAAUCUGUGCUUGCACAGGCUAGCCAAGGCGGACGGGUGAGUAACGCGUAAAGAACUUGCCCUGCAGACAGGGAUAACAGACGGAAACGACUGAUAACACCUGAUACAGUUGCCGGCACGCAUGUGCCUGGCAAUGAAAAGAGAUGCUGCAGGAGAGCUUUGCGUCCUAUUAGCUUGUUGGUGAGGUGACGGCUCACCAAGGCGAUGAUAGGUAGCCGGCCUGAGAGGGUGAACGGCCACAAGGGGACUGAGAUACGGCCCUUACUCCUACGGGAGGCAGCAGUGGGGAAUAUUGGACAAUGGGGGCAACCCUGAUCCAGCAAUUCGGUGUGAACGAAGAAGGUUUUCGGAUUGUAAAGGGCUUUCAGCAGGGAAGAAGAAAGUGACGGUACCUGCAGAAGAAGCGACGGCUAAAUACGUG
rnacentral:rRNA from 1 species